UACGGGGGUGGCAAGCGUUGUUCGGAAUUACUGGGCGUAAAGGGCGCGUAGGCGGGGAGGUAAGUCGGGUGUGAAAUCCCUCGGCUCAACCGAGGAACUGCGCCCGAGACUGCCUUUCUUGAGUCCCGGAGAGGAAGGUGGAAUUCCCGGUGUAGCGGUGAAAUGUGUAGAGAUCGGGAGGAACACCGGUGGCGAAGGCGGCCUCUGGACGGUGACUGACGCUGAGGCGCGAAAGCGUGGGGAGCAAACGGGG
rnacentral:rRNA from 1 species